rnacentral:rRNA from 1 species
GGGGAAUAUUGCACAAUGGGCGAAAGCCUGAUGCAGCAACGCCGCGUGGAGGAUGAAGGCCUUCGGGUUGUAAACUCUUGUCUUCUGGGACGAUAAUGACGGUACCAGAGGAGGAAGCCACGGCUAACUACGUGCCAGCAGCCGCGGUAAUACGUAGGUGGCAAGCGUUGUCCGGAUUUACUGGGCGUAAAGGAUGCGUAGGCGGAUAUUUAAGUGGGAUGUGAAAUACCCGGGCUCAACCUGGGUGCUGCAUUCCAAACUGGAUAUCUAGAGUGCGGGAGAGGAAAGUGGAAUUCCUAGUGUAGCGGUGAAAUGCGUAGAGAUUAGGAAGAACACCAGUGGCGAAGGCGACUUUCUGGACCGUAACUGACGCUGAGGCAUGAAAGCGUGGGGAGCAAACA